rnacentral:rRNA from 1 species
UACGUAGGGGGCUAGCGUUGUCCGGAAUCAUUGGGCGUAAAGCGCGUGUAGGCGGUCCGGUAAGUCCGCUGUGAAAGUCGGGGGCUCAACCCUCGAAUGCCGGUGGAUACUGUCGGGCUAGAGUGCGGAAGAGGCGAGUGGAAUUCCUGGUGUAGCGGUGAAAUGCGCAGAUAUCAGGAGGAACACCAAUGGCGAAGGCAGCACUCUGGGACGUGACUGACGCUGAGACGCGAAAGCGUGGGGAGCAAACAGG